CGCCGAGUUGACAUCAGGCCGAGUAUCGAAAGACCCCGUAUCUUGGUUGAAUAACAGAUUCUUCCGAUACAGAACUACUCACGUUACAACACCACGAUUAUUCGUCCGAUUCCAAUUACUUCUCCCAUCUUACCUGAGUUAUGCGAGGCUGGGUGAUUAGACGGAUAUUUACAAUGAUUUAAAUUUAUAAACUGUGGCGAAGGAAAUGUUAUUUGAUUCAACAAAGCAGCGGUCAAAACAAUAAUUUGUGUUAUCCAGUGAAACUACAUUUAUUUUGAAUGUGGUCACUCGUACUAUAUAUUUUUGUAACUAUUGCGAUAAUUUGAU